rnacentral:rRNA from 1 species
AACGCUAGCUACAGGCUUAACACAUGCAAGUCGAGGGGUAGCAGGGUAGCAAUACCGCUGACGACCGGCGCACGGGUGAGUAACACGUAUCCAACCUUCCCAUAACUCGGGGAUAGCCUUUCGAAAGAAAGAUUAAUACCCGAUAGUACUUAAGAAAGGCAUCUUUUUUAAGUUAAAGAUUUAUUGGUUAUGGAUGGGGAUGCGUUCCAUUAGAUAGUUGGUGAGGUAACGGCUCACCAAGUCUUCGAUGGAUAGGGGUUCUGAGAGGAAGGUCCCCCACAUUGGUACUGAGACACGGACCAAACUCCUACGGGAGGCAGCAGUGAGGAAUAUUGGUCAAUGGGCGAGAGCCUGAACCAGCCAAGUAGCGUGAAGGAUGAAGGUCCUAUGGAUUGUAAACUUCUUUUAUAGUAGAAUAAAGUGAUCCACGUGUGGAUUUUUGUAUGUAUACUAUGAAUAAGGAUUGGCUAACUCCGUGCCAGCAGCCGCGGUAAUACGGAGGAUCCGAGCGUUAUCCGGAUUUAUUGGGUUUAAAGGGUGCGUAGGCGGAAUAAUAAGUCAGUUGUGAAAGUUUGCGGCUCAACCGUAAAAUUGCAGUUGAUACUGUUAUUCUUGAGUGUACAUAAGGUAGGCGGAAUUCGUGGUGUAGCGGUGAAAUGCUUAGAUAUCACGAAGAACUCCGAUUG